UACGUAGGGUGCAAGCGUUGUCCGGAAUUAUUGGGCGUAAAGAGCUCGUAGGCGGUUUGUCGCGUCUGCUGUGAAAACUCGGGGCUUAACCCCGGGCCUGCAGUGGGUACGGGCAGACUAGAGUGCGGUAGGGGAGACUGGAAUUCCUGGUGUAGCGGUGAAAUGCGUAGAUAUCAGGAGGAACACCGGUGGCGAAGGCGGCUCUCUGGACCACAACUGACGCUGAGGCGCGAAAGCUAGGGGAGCAAACAGG
rnacentral:rRNA from 1 species